rnacentral:lncRNA from 1 species
UUCAACUUUUAAAUCUUUUUUACAAAAAAUACCAACUCGUGUAUAAACAUGAGUUUAAAACUAGUAAAAAAAAAUAUUAUGAUUAUUAUAACAAAGGAGCCAUUGUCUAUUAGAAGUGUUACGGUGUAAAUUUACUGGGACCGAAGUACUAACCUUGAGGACGUCUUCUUCUGUGCUUCUGCCCGCUUUUCGUGAUUUCUGACCGUACGUC